AACGAACGCUGGCGGCAGGCUUAACACAUGCAGGUCGAGCGCCCCGCCAGGGGAGCGGCCGACGGGUGAGUAACGCGUGGGAACGUACCUUUUGGUUCGGAACAACUCCGGGAAACUGGAGCUAAUACCGGAUAAGCCCUAACGGGGAAAGAGUUAUCGCCGAAAGAUCGGGCCGCGUCUGAUUAGCUAGUUGGUGAGGUAACGGCUCACCAAGGCGACGAUCAGUAGCUGGUCUGAGAGGAUGAUCAGCCACACUGGGACUGAGACACGGCCCAGACUCCUACGGGAGGCAGCAGUGGGUAAUACUGGACAAUGGGCGCAAGCCUGAUCCAGCCAUGCCGCGUGAGUGAUGAAGGCCUUAGGGUUGUAAAGCUCUUUUGUCCGGGAAGAUAAUGACUGUACCGGAAGAAUAAGCCCCGGCUAACUUCGUG
rnacentral:rRNA from 1 species